rnacentral:rRNA from 1 species
CCUACGGGCGGCAGCAGUGAGGAAUAUUAGUCAAUGGGCGCGAGCCUGAACCAGCCAAGUAGCGUGAAGGAUGACUGCCCUACGGGUUGUAAACUUCUUUUAUAAAGGAAUAAAGUGAGGCACGUGUGCCUUUUUGUAUGUACUUUAUGAAUAAGGAUCGGCUAACUCCGUGCCAGCAGCCGCGGUAAUACGGAGGAUCCGAGCGUUAUCCGGAUUUAUUGGGUUUAAAGGGAGCGUGGAUGGGUUGUUAAGUCAGUUGUGAAAGUUUGCGGCUCAACCGUAAAAUUGCAAUUGAUACUGGAGGUCUUGGGUAAGGUGAGGGUGGGCGAGGUUCGUGUGUAGCGGUGAAAUGCUUAGAUAUCACGAAGAACUCCGAUUGCGAAGGCAGCUUACUAAACUGCCACUGACAUUGAUGCUCGAAAGUGUGGGUAUCAAACAGGAUUAGAUACCCUAGUAGUC